rnacentral:rRNA from 1 species
UAGAGUUUGAUCAUGGCUCAGAACGAACGCUGGCGGCAGGCCUAACACAUGCAAGUCGAGCGCUACCUUCGGGUGGAGCGGCGGACGGGUUAGUAACGCGUGGGAAUAUACCCAGUUCUAAGGAGUAGCCACUGGAAACGGUGAGUAAUACCUUAUACGCCCUCCGGGGGAAAGAUUUAUCGGAAUUGGAUUAGCCCGCGUUAGAUUAGAUAGUUGGUGGGGUAAUGGCCUACCAAGUCUACGAUCUAUAGCUGGUUUGAGAGGAUGAUCAGCAACACUGGGACUGAGACACGGCCCAGACUCCUACGGGGA